UAGGGAAUCUUCCACAAGGGACGCAAGUCUGAUGGAGCAACGCCGCGUGAGUGAAGAAGGUUUUCGGAUCGUAAAGCUCUGUUGUUGGUGAAGAAGGAUAGAGGCAGUAACUGGUCUUUAUUUGACGGUAAUCAACCAGAAAGUCACGGCUAACUACGUGCCAGCAGCCGCGGUAAUACGUAGGUGGCAAGCGUUGUCCGGAUUUAUUGGGCGUAAAGCGAGCGCAGGCGGAAUGAUAAGUCUGAUGUGAAAGCCCACGGCUCAACCGUGGAACUGCAUCGGAAACUGUCAUUCUUGAGUGCAGAAGAGGAGAGUGGAAUUCCAUGUGUAGCGGUGGAAUGCGUAGAUAUAUGGAAGAACACCAGUGGCGAAGGCGGCUCUCUGGUCUGCAACUGACGCUGAGGCUCGAAAGCAUGGGUAGCGAACAGG
rnacentral:rRNA from 1 species